rfam:Vitis vinifera, whole genome shotgun sequence of line PN40024, unoriented chromosome 1, chr1
AUACUUACCUGGACGGGGUCAAUGGCUGAUCAAGAAGAGCCAUGGCCUAGGUUAGUGACCUCCAUUGCACUUUGGAGGGGCACUCGCCUAAGAUCUGCCCAAGUGGCAGAGUCUACGUCAUAAUUUGUGGUAGUGGGGGUUCGCGUUCGCGCGGCCCCUAC